AUAGGCUUGCGUUCUGAUUAGCUAGUUGGUGUGGUAACGGCACACCAAGGCUACGAUCAGUAACUGGUCUGAGAGGAUGAUCAGUCACACUGGAACUGAGACACGGUCCAGACUCCUACGGGAGGCAGCAGUGAGGAAUAUUGGGCAAUGCUCGAAAGAGUGACCCAGCAACGCCGCGUGGAGGAUGAAGGUAUUCUAUAUCGUAAACUCCUGUGAGAGCAGACGAAAGACAGAUUAUUAAUCUGGAUGACUGUAUGCUCAGAGGAAGCCCCGGCUAACUACGUG
rnacentral:rRNA from 1 species